CCUACGGGAGGCUGCAGUGAGGAAUAUUGGUCAAUGGGCGAGAGCCUGAACCAGCCAAGUCGCGUGAAGGAUGACGGCCCUACGGGUUGUAAACUUCUUUUGUCAGGGAGCAAUUGAGUCCACGUGUGGGCUUAGCGAGAGUACCUGAAGAAAAAGCAUCGGCUAACUCCGUGCCAGCAGCCGCGGUAAUACGGAGGAUGCGAGCGUUAUCCGGAUUUAUUGGGUUAAAUGGGUGCGGAGGCGGAAUAUCAAGUCAGCGGGAAAAAUUCGGGGCCCAACCCCGUCGUGCCGUUGAAACUGAUGGUCUUGAGUGGGCGAGAAGUAUGCGGAAGGCGUGGUGUAGCGGUGAAAUGCAUAGAUAUCACGCAGAACUCCGAUUGCGAAGGCAGCAUACCGGCGCCCAACUGACGCUGAAGCACGAAAGCGUGGGUAUCGAACAGGAUUAGAUACCCCUGUAGUC
rnacentral:rRNA from 1 species